GGGAAACUUGUGCUAAUACCGGAUGUGCCCUUCGGGGGAAAGAUUUAUCGCCAUUGGAGCGGCCCGCGUUGGAUUAGGUAGUUGGUGGGGUAAUGGCCCACCAAGCCGACGAUCCAUAGCUGGUCUGAGAGGAUGAUCAGCCACACUGGGACUGAGACACGGCCCAGACUCCUACGGGAGGCAGCAGUGGGGAAUCUUGCGCAAUGGGCGAAAGCCUGACGCAGCCAUGCCGCGUGAAUGAUGAAGGUCUUAGGAUUGUAAAAUUCUUUCACCGGGGAAGAUAAUGACGGUACCCGGAGAAGAAGCCCCGGCUAACUUCGUGCCAGCAGCCGCGGUAAUACGAAGGGGGCUAGCGUUGUUCGGAAUUACUGGGCGUAAAGGGCGCGUAGGCGGACAGUUAAGUCAGAGGUGAAGCCCAGGGCUCAACCUUGGAAUUUCCUUUGAUACUGGCUGUCUUGAGUUCGGGA
rnacentral:rRNA from 1 species